UACGAAGGGGGCUAGCGUUGCUCGGAAUCACUGGGCGUAAAGGGUGCGUAGGUGGGUCUUUAAGUCAGGGGUGAAAUCCUGGAGCUCAACUCCAGAACUGCCUUUGAUACUGAGGAUCUUGAGUUCGGGAGAGGUGAGUGGAACUGCGAGUGUAGAGGUGAAAUUCGUAGAUAUUCGCAAAGAACACCAGUGGCGAAGGCGGCUCACUGGCCCGAUACUGACGCUGAGGCACGAAAAGCGUGGGGAGCAAACAGG
rnacentral:rRNA from 1 species